GUAACGUCAACUGUGAAACUCCUGAGCGAUCAGUUGACGUUGUGCUGUGGUGGAUCGAGUCACGAGAGUAGGCAACGUCUUUUCGACCGAACGAUGGAUUUAUAACCGCAAAUAUCACGUUGUCACUCCUCUCGGUCGGGCUUUGGUGGAUGUUCUCGGAGGUGUUCUUGUGCCGUUGAUUAUUGAUAUUUUCGGGAUCGUUGGACUUUGUGUGCUCGUCGUUGGUAGCUCCCGCUCCCGGGAAUCAUGUCUGUUUGAUUGGAUAGUAGUGCAGUUGAGAGUUUUAUUCGCUUGACCGGUUCUCCUGCCUUUCUCCGGUAUUAGUGACGAGGUUGUCCAGGUUCAGCCGAUCCACUGCAGAUUAACUGGACCAGCGGUGAAGAGUCAGUGAUAAUUUCGUUUGUCGCGCGUCUGAUUUUUCUUCGUCCCUUCGAUUUUUCGACGAGGGAGACGAGAGGUCAGGGCUGACGUCACGAAGGGGUUUAUCAUCGCUGCUGAAUACCCCAGCACAAUGGACAUUAGAAAGUACUUCAAGCACAUACGAUGGCCGAUUCACGCGGCUUCAAGUCAAUAGACCCGCUGUGGAGUGGUGGUGUACCCCUGGAUCCCGAGUACGAGGAGGUGACUGGUGUGGCCGCCUCGCUCGAUCAAAAAAAUUCAACAACGGAGUCCCUAGAGCGCGCACGAAAGAAGCGCAAGGUACUGCAGGAGGAGGCAGGAUCGCGCACACCAAGUGUACGUAGUCGUGAUGAUACACGUACACGCAGGCAUACGGAGGAUAAAUUAACAACGACUGAUCAACAGCAUCGCGAGCCUUUUGGCUUCAGGGUGGAGGAGCAAUAUGCUGUACGUGGAUUUUACGGUGAUAAUGUACAAGGGCCGUACGAGGCAUCGGCAUUCAAGCUGACGAGGGGACACACUACUGGACGUUAUCCCCAGUCAACUGCUGAACAUCAUCAUCAUUAUUAUUAUCCUGGCAGUGUGAGACAGCCUGGUGCUAGGCCAGCGCAACGUCAUUAUUAUUAUCCACGUGGGGUAUUCAGUAAUGAGACGCAGGAAGAAAUACAGGAGGACGAUGAAGCCACUCUCAGGGAGUUGCUCAUAAGUCUGCAGAAACAGGUCAGCGUGAUGAGUAUGAACUUGAGUGCCAAGCUGGAUGAGCUACAGCGGGGUGACCGCCAGCUCGAGACCACUGUAGCUCUGUGUGAAAUACGUACGCAACUUCAGGAGCUCACUAAGAGUGUUGAGUCUUGUCAGAGCGAGGUCAGCGAGGUCAAACGUGAUAUGGUGGCGAUUAAGAGUGUUAUUCUUGUUGCCUGCGUCGUGCAGCAUGAGCUGGACACUGUGCAGCAGGUGAAGGAGGAGAUUGAGGAGUUGCGGGAGUAUGUGGACAGACUGGAGGAACACUCGCAUCGCAGGAAACUGAGGCUCCUGGAGCAGGGGCUCACGUUUUUCCUCGCGUAUGCGAUAUUCGCUGCAGUCCUGGGGAUGCUCCAGUUUGGCUACAAUACUGGAGUGAUAAAUGCACCGUCAGGGCAAAUUGAGAAUUUCAUGAAAGAUGUGUAUAAAGGCAGAUAUGGUGAUGACAUGUCGGAUAAGUCUGUUAAGAGGUUGUUCUCAUUGGCAGUUAGUAUAUUUGCUAUUGGGGGUAUGGUUGGUGGUAUUAGCGGGGGCGUUAUAGCCAACAGAUUUGGCAGAAAAGGGGGCUUACUGUUGAACAACAUGCUGGGCAUCGUGGGGGCAUGCCUUAUGGGUUUUACUAAAGUUGCCAACUCAUACGAGAUGCUAUUCUUGGGUCGUUUCGUAAUUGGUAUUAAUUGUGGAUUAAAUACAUCAUUGGUACCCAUGUACAUAUCGGAGAUAGCGCCAUUGAAUUUGAGAGGCGGCCUGGGCACGGUAAACCAGCUCGCUGUUACGGUGGGCCUCCUAAUCUCCCAGGUGUUGGGAAUUGAGAAGAUACUCGGUACAAAUGAUCGUUGGCCGGUACUGCUGGGCCUUGCUGUUGUUCCUGCUAUUGCCCAACUUGUGCUACUACCAAUUUGUCCAGAAUCCCCGAGAUAUUUGCUCAUUACAAAGCAGUGGGAGGAGGAGGCACGUAGGGCUUUGAGAAGGUUAAGGGGUAGUAACCAAGUUGAGGAGGACAUUGAUGAAAUGAGGGCGGAGGAAAGGGCUCAACAGGCUGAGUCGACAAUUAAAAUGAGUGAGCUUAUAUGCAGUCCAACGCUCAGGGCACCUCUUGUUAUUGGUGUGGUCAUGCAACUCUCUCAGCAACUUUCUGGUAUCAAUGCUGUGUUUUAUUACUCCACCCAAUUGUUCCACAAUGCUGGACUGACUGAAGAGAGUGCUAAACUGGCCUCAAUCGGUAUCGGUGCAAUAAUGGUGAUAAUGACCCUAGUAUCAAUUCCCCUAAUGGACAGAACAGGAAGAAGAACUCUUCAUCUCUAUGGUCUCGGUGGAAUGUUUAUAUUUUCCAUAUUCAUCACAAUUUCAUUCCUCAUCAAGGAGUUUUUCAAUUACGUACAGGAAAUGAUUGGCUGGAUGUCGUAUCUGUCGGUUGUCUCGACACUCAGCUUCGUGGUAUUCUUCGCUGUCGGUCCAGGCUCAAUACCUUGGAUGAUAACAGCUGAAUUGUUCUCACAAGGACCUAGACCGGCUGCUAUGUCGAUCGCUGUACUUAUCAAUUGGAUGGCUAAUUUUGUCGUUGGCAUUGCUUUUCCAAGCAUGAUGGCUGUUCUCGACAACUACACAUUCCUCCCCUUCAGUGGAUUCCUGGCGGUAUUCUGGAUAUUUACGUAUAAAAAAGUACCAGAGACGAAGAACAAGACCUUCGAGGAGAUUCUGGCGCUGUUCAGGCACGGUCAUGACAGCAGGAGCAGCUUGCGGGACAGCAGACUUUAUGGGACCAUGCUAAACUGUACGAAUGCGUUAGAGGGACACAUACCACCGGCAGAGAGUGCAGCCCUCAUGGUGGCAGAGGAGAAGCCCCAUCCUGAUUCAUGUAAGGCCUGUCAACCUGACCGACAACACCCGUAUCAUCACCUGUCACUAUCAAAACUUCCAUCAACAGGGCAAACAAUUCCUCAGACAUGGCUGUAGCCAAUAAUUGUUACAUGAUAUUUAUUGACCCUUUUCCAAUGCCUCUGUGUGCCAUCGAAUUUAUUAGAGGGACUGUUGUUAUUUAUAGGAUUGUUUACAAUCGAUGACAGCCCAGGGGACACUUAGGAUCCUCUGAUAAUAUUCCACCGCAAUUUGUUGUUUUUGCAGCUGGAUCAGAACGCUCUUCCAUCGCUCCCGCUCAACCGGAAAGAGCACCGCCCCCGCUUCCCCCGCCACGCUUUCCGAACAGCGGUGUCUGACAAUGGGAAACUCCUCUUAAUAUUGGCAACUUUAUGAUAAUGAGUACGCCUAUACCACUGUUACUAAGCACCACCAGUCUCACAAUCGAGAAUCAUCUUUACGAAAUAAUAACCGAGCGUAGCAAAGCGUGCGCCACAUUCCUUCGCAACAGUUUACGUCGUCCCACCAAUGCCGGAGCUAUUUCAUGGAAUGUGGGCCCACCGGAAAUUGAAGUGAGACGUCGUAUCAGCUCCUGAAGAUAGCGUGGAUGGAAUACAAAAGCUCGGGAGAGUAACAAUUCUAAUGAAAAAAUCAAGAUAAAUAGCUAAUAACUUAAAUUUAAAAAAUCGUGCUUCACUUUUCCCAAAAAAAAAAAAAAAAAGUGUUCAACAGUUUUAAUUCAGUAAAUUUAAUCAAUCGAGGAAUGUUCGUUAUAAUCAACAAAACAGCUUUGCACUAAUUAUUUAAUAUAAAUGAAGGACGUAAUGAGACACUGACAAAUUAUUUAAUUAGUGGAAUGUUUAAAUGAAUUGUGAAUGACAAAUCUGAGUGAUUUUGCCGAGUGAAAUAGACAAUUAUCAUUCUUCGUUUAUCAUUACGUUAUUGAAAUUGUUGGAAGACUGGGAAAUUAUCGUGGAGAGGGGGGGGGUGAUAUUGUGGGUGUAACGGAAGGUUACCGACGAUUGAGGAAAUAUUAUUGAUGGAGAUAAAAUUUAUUGCUCAGAAUUUAAUUAGGGAAAUUGAGGAAUUGCGUUCUCAGUGAAGUAUUUUGUGCCAUUUUAAUCGAAUAUGUUUUUUAAUACUCAAUCGACUGGUUGCCUUCCAUUAUAUGUACAUAAACUUAUGUAAAUAAUUGUAUACUCUUAUUUGUAUCGUAUACACUUGUGUAAUUGAUGGGGAGAGGGAAAUGUAUAAAUGUACUAUAUUACUCAUUAAUGUGGCUAGAGUCGCCGCGGAAAAUCAUUGAUUCGAGGUAAAUUGAUCGUUGAAUGAAUUUUUCGUCAUCAUGUGAUUGAUUGUUUGUGUUCAUUGUUAAAUAAAAUUGACAGUUUCAAUUUUAUCAGUAUUAUUCGUUCGUAAUUUAAUGGAUUUGGAAUGGGGGGAAAUUCUAUUGUUCAAGUUUAUUGCUAUUAUAAAAUUAUAAAGACUUAAAAUUGUAAUGGUUAAUGAAUUCAUUCGCAAUUUCAUAUCAAUAAUCAAAGGGUAAUAUAGUACAGUUUGUAAUCAAGUUAUAACGAUGGGGUUUUCUCGGUGCACUUUCUUGUAUAUUUGGGGAGAGUAGUUGAGAGAAAGGUGAUUAAUUAUUGGAGUUGAUUAUUUUGCAUUUGGUCAAUGAACUACAAAAAAAUCGUCCCAAGAUUGAUUGAGAGGGAAAAAUCCGGUCUAUUGAUCUUCAUUAAAAUUAUUUAGUUGCAAAUGAAGAUAAAAAAAAAAAUUUUUUUCUAAUCUGUCAUUUUGUCUAAUAAAACAAAACGACGAACGACGAAUGAUGUCAUAAAAAUGUAAGAAAUUUCCGUGAAGAUUUUUGUUUUCGAAAAUAUUCAAUAAGUUAAUUUCACCCUUCCCCAACUGCUCACCAGAUUGUACUAAAAAAUUUCAACCUUCAACAGAUAAGAGUUGAAAAUGUCUCCUGAUGAAAUAACGUCUGUCUCUACUAAGCUUACGAAUAUUCUCGCAAAAAUGGGAAAACACGAUUGAUUGAGUGACACGACAUUCACUGUAAUCGAUACGUAAUACUUAAGAAAAAAAAAGAAAUCAGACUAUUCACUAGAAAACUGGAGAAAAAGGUCGGGAAAAUUUAUGAGACGCUGAGGAGAGACAUUGGAUUUUUUGCAGGAGUUGAAAAGCAAGGAAAUUAAAUCUACGAGACAGGCAAUAUAACACUUGACCCGAUUGAGAGAUUAAUAAAAAGGUUUUCUUCUGCAUUUCUGGUGUAUCCCAGUUGUCUCCGGAAGUGAAGGAAUUUAUUAUUAACGAUCUAGGAUAGGCAUUUAGGGGUAGAAAGAAAGUAUAACGUACAAGCUCGUUCAAUCGCAAACAAAAAAUUGAGGUAAACGCAUUAAAAAUUGUAGCGAAUGGGGAGAAAUUACUUUAAAAGUCCAUUUCAACCUGUUAACUGUGAAUUCAUUCCCGAUAAUAAAUGACUCCAGAGGAAAAAUUGCACACGAAUACUCUUGACGGGAGAAUUUCACAUUUAAAUUAAAAAGGCAAAAUUGAAAUUGACAUUCUGUCUUUUCGCUGCAGAGAUAAAUUUCAAAGUUGUCACUCGAUGGAUAUAAUUAAUUUAAUUAUGAAGACAAAACAAGUGCGAUUGGAUUUUUACGACAAAUAUGGCGGUACAAUAAAUUGAAAAAUGAAUCAAGUAAUGAUAGCAUAUCCGUUUAAAAAAAACAAUGAAGAUUAAUUAUUAAUAGGCUUAAAAAUCGAUGCGUGUGUGUGAAAAGUUGCUGUUACUUUUCGACUCAAAGAACAAUUGGACUAUCGACAUUCUAAUGAGGAUUACUGAAGUUGAUCAGUAUGUGAUUUUAUAAAAAUCUCGGUUUUUAUAGUCCACAAUGUGAAUUUUCCUCAUUAUCAGCGUGAAAAUGAUGGAUGAUUCGUCCUGACUCGAGAAUUUACAAUGAGUGAUACAGUGAACUAGAAUUCAAAUGAAUAAAUAUUAAAUAAUAAAAA